UGGACGUAACCAAUCUGGGUAAACCACGUACAUCUUGUGUUUGCUUCCCUGUCUCUAUCCAUUUACAUAAUUAUCCAUACUAGUGAGCGGAGGAAUCUAGCGAAGGUCACAAACUUGACACUUUCUGUUGUACCAAAGUCCUCACUGAUUUUGUGCAUCAACAUUUGGCGCCGUCUAUAGGAAAAGCUUGUCUGUAAUCAACAACCUUAAAUGUGGGGGAGUAUGUCCAGGGAUUGCAAAUUACUUACUAAAGUCCCAAGAUGUAUUUUUGAGGACUUUACAUUGUAAAACAACUACUCUCGUAAGAAAUAUAAUUUCAUAAGAUGAAUUGUGCACACUAUUAUAGAUAGGCAACCUAGUAGUUGAUCCAAUUAUUAAAGGUUAGACUAGAAAGUAAGUUGAUCAUAAAAGGGAAUGAGGUUAAAGCCAACAUAACUAAUGAAUCAGCGGGGUGGAAACCUAACUUAGUUAAUUGGAGAUCUUAUAGUCUAAGUUCAUUAGGCAUACUGGUUGGGCAUGACUCAAAGAAGAUAACACACUAUAUACCUCCUUCCUAUGAUGGAAGACGUGUGUUGUCUACAGAAGUUUUUAGGUGUAUAUUUAUGCUUAAUGACAAUGAUAUCUUAUAAGUAAAAGGAAUAGAGCUGACGAUUCUUAAUCAGUGGUCACCUAUGUGAGAGUACAAGAGGGUGGCUUGUGAUGACCCGUCCCUAUUUUACGUUUUUAUUAAUUUUAAAAGCGUGAAUUGAUGAAAAUGCCUUAAAGGCAAGGAUUUUAACUUCUGUUGACCAUCGUCUAGAGAAACAUAUGACUUAUUCUAUUGGCGCGUAAUACUCGAUGGUACAAACGCAUAGGCAAAAGCCAUUUGCGAGUCCGGAUUAUAACGGUAUAGUUAUGGACGUUUGAAAUAGGUUACUUACAUUUUAGAUUAUAAAUUAUUUGAACUCCCACCUUGUAGGAAAGAAACCCAAUCGGUUUCAAGGAAAGAAAAUAGGGACCAAUCAAAUAAAAGAAAAGAAAGCCUUGAGCCAAUCAUGACAAAGGAAAAAAAAACAAAAAAAAAAGAUUUCUCCCAUCUAUUCCCGUCGGCUCUUCUACCCAUGCCAAACCAGUUUCGACUCAAUUCCAAAUCCGGUGAAUUUCCACCAUUUUUCCGUCGAAUAACCAUCAUCCAAAAUCUGCAACCUCUCCCUCAAUCUCUCCUCUACCAUUUCCGCCCAAGAUUGAAGGGUUUUAGGUCCCAUUUCGUGUAGAACUCCACCGGAGCACCGAAGGUGCUCGACGACGAUUCCUUCGUUCCAGCGAGUUUCACCACCCACCAUCACUCCUAAUCAACUCCCCUUGGACCUAGGAACAAGACCCAACCAGUGAGAGGUGAUGUGAAAAUUAACUUGACAUACAAAUUAAACCCUAUGGAUGACAAUUGUAGUAUAUGAG
rnacentral:lncRNA from 1 species